UACGUAGGGGGCAAGCGUUAUCCGGAUUUACUGGGUGUAAAGGGAGCGUAGGUGGAUUGUUAAGUCAGUUGUGAAAGUUUGCGGCUCAACCGUAAAAUUGCAGUUGAAACUGGCAGUCUUGAGUACAGUAGAGGUGGGCGGAAUUCGUGGUGUAGCGGUGAAAUGCUUAGAUAUCACGAAGAACUCCGAUUGCGAAGGCAGCUCACUGGACUGCAACUGACACUGAGGCGCGAAAGCGUGGGGGGCAAACAGG
rnacentral:rRNA from 1 species